UAAUUUUUUCAAUUUUUCAAAAUUGAGAGACUGAGUUAGCUGUGAUACUGAGUUAGGUGAGUGAGAACUUGCCGAGUACUUUUUAGGGUUCCACCGCCAUUUUUGCAUCAUUCCCGCUGCCAUUUCUGCCGCCGGCAUCGCCAGCGGCACCGCCACCACUGCCGUGUCCGUUGCGGUAGAGAGCUUCUGCCAUGUCCAUUCUAUACUGUUGUUGCUGCCACAGUGAAGUUUCCAGAUCUGUUCAUUAUUAAUUUGUUCGCUAUUAAUCGAGCCACCUCCUCGCUAUUAAUUUCCAGAUCUGUACGCUAUUAAUCGAGCCACCUCCUCAACGCGUUUUUGGAUCUGUUCGCUUCCAAGCUUCUUCUUCGACGCAACUUUCUCUCCCUCCAUAUUUCUCCUCUGCCGUUGAGUAAAUUUCAGAUUAUAUUGUAAACCAAAAGUUCUCUGGAUGCCAAGCAUGAGGAACAAGAUUAUUUUUCGCUCUUUAUCUAGCUGGGACUCAACCUCAACAAGCUUAGCUCUCGUUUCAUUGCAUUCUUUCCUAGCAUUGCCUGUCUCCCUCUUCUGGGCCUCUAAUUCACCCAGCAGCUACUGAACCAUAUUAGAUUUUGAAGACUGAGGUCCUCCUCUAGAACCUAGCACACAUGUUUUAUUCCUGACCACUAUUGUAG